rnacentral:rRNA from 1 species
GUCAGGAGACAUACCAGCUGCAGUUUAGCAUAGGUAAUCCAUCUGAAGCUAAGCAGGUUUGGGCCUGGUCAGUACCUGGAUGCCAGACCAAGGAAAGCUGGGUUGCUGCUGGAA